rnacentral:misc_RNA from 1 species
AGUGAUAAGGAUUUUGCCAAAAUUAUGGUUCUCUGACUCCGAGGGAGUCGAUAAUGUCUCAGGACAAAUCUCAUCGGAAAGCUUUUUUAUUUUUGUUUAGAAAAAAAGGUUUGCACCAAUUUUAACGGAUAAUAAUAAAAAUAAAUAGUUUAGAAAUGUAAAAUUAAAUUGUCUUGUUCCAAGAUACGCAUAUUGAAUGCAAAGCUUUA